GCAUUGAUGAAGAGUCCCAAACUAGGACGAAACAGCUGUUCAGUAC
rnacentral:hammerhead_ribozyme from 1 species